CCACCAAGGCACCAUGAGUUCAGUUAGCAAAGCAAACCCCUCUCCUUAGAAAGUCUUCAUCAGGAACUCACUUCUUUCCUACUUUCUUAUUGCUACUUCAGGCAUGGAUAAUGGAUAAAUAAGUCAUUUAAUAAUGACUUAUUUAAGAUCUAACUGUGCUUUUCUACACUUUUGUAGGUGCAGCCAGCUCUCUUGGAGUGUCCAGCUAGGCACUGAAAAAGCAGGCGACUCAGCCAGAGGACUCGCAGUCUCUUCAGCCAAAUUUCCAAAGGCAGCUGAUCCUAGGAAAGCUCUCACCCAUACCUUCCCUGGGCAGUGCAAAACAACCCCCUCGCCUUCAGAGGAAAAAGUGGACCCUGAGAUCCUAAGAAGAUUCAGAAGCACCACCGAAAUACUCCUGCACAUGGAAUAAGCUGCUGAAAAGGAGGGGUAAAUCCUGGCAUGGUUCAGCCAUCCCUUCUCUAACAACCUUGCCCUGCAUCCAUCAUUCCUGCAGUGCCCUAACUUGGGAGACAUCAAGUGGCAAAGCAGAAGGCUCAGUUACAGAACCAGAAAGCAGGACUGAGGUCAGGUACUGGAUGUUCUUAAUGGCUUUGGUGUUUCUUGAGCUAGAUGUGACAUUCUGCUUGCAUUCAAAUGAUUAUUUCUGGUGGGGAGAACCAAAAUGGCUUCAGCAAGGCAGACUUUGCCCUUGGUGGGUAAUUGAACAGAGAGAACAUGUGGCUGUAACACGGGAGACCCUUAGCACACAUCAGCCUCUUCCACCGGGUGUGUUUUGGGAUGUGAUGGAGCCACCUGGCAAAAACACUACAGCAGGGAAGGAAUACUCUCCCUCCAGUGGUUCACAGUCCUGUUUUAACAGCAAAUCCUACUUUUAAAGCCUUUGUGCACCAGAUCCCCAGGGCUGUACCUGCUAGAUUGUCAAGCAUGUAGUUCAGUAGCUUUCGGGUUCCGUCUGGAUCCUGGUAGAGGCUGAGAAUAUCUUGGGAUAAAGGAUUGCCUGCCAACAGCACAAAACAACAGCGAGGGGAUCAGCUGCCUGCCUUUCUUGAGGCUUUCCACCCAAAGAAAAUCUCCCAGAAUGAGAACAGACAAAUUAACUCAGCAGGUUAAAGGGUUUAUUUCCCUGACUGCAGAUUUGAAAUGAGCUCCUAAGGAAGUUUAGCAGCAUUAGGAAAGAGAAGCAUUGUUCUCCCAGCUGCCUGGUAAUUUUUGCUACCAACUUAAUGCUUAAAAUAACCUGUAAGAAAACCUUGAGGUAAUAGAGGAAGGUUUUGAGGCCAGCCCCCCCUCAGGAUUCCUGAGAACUCGUGGGAAUAUGGAACUGGGAAGAGCUCACCUUUCAAACCCAGGGUUUGCAGCUGGAAGAGCCGUCCAAGUUCAUAAGGCAAAACCCGUAACAGAUUGUUAUUUAAAAGCAAUUCCCUGCAGCAAAUGCAAAAACACUGGGUGAGUAUUACUGCAGAAGAAACUCCUAAGGUGCUGUACACUGCUCAUCCUCAAAGAGAUCACUUUUCACCCUGAAUUUUAUUAUGGAAAGAUAUGCCAAUCUUCCCGUGUCAAAGCAUGACUGAAAUACAUUCAUGAGGGGGAAAAAAGCCACAAAGCCCAAGAUGAAACCAGGGAUGGAAACGGUGAUAUAUCAACAAUCAGAAAAAAAGGCCAGCGAACCCAAAAGUAAUUAUCAGAACCAAAGCUCUGCACCAAUCUGGAGCUUUUCAGAAUUAUUUGAAAUACAGGCACAGGAAACAAACUGAAACUCUCGGUCCCAAUCCCACGCUAGAGACUUUUUGUGAAGUUAACCAGAAUAAUUCCCCUCACCUGAGAGACACCAUGUUUCCUAGUUCUGCUGGUAAACUUCUGAGUUUGUUGGAUGACAGAUCCAGGUAAACCAGAUUGUGAAGCUUGGCAAUAUCAGGUGGAAUGCGAGUAAGGUUGUUGUCAUUGAGGUGCAGAGCAGUCAGGUGUGUCAGCGACCACAGCGACGUGCUUAAGCUCCGCACUCUCCCUGCAAGAGGAAAGCAAGGAACUCAAACACCUCCUCAGCCUGGACCCCCUCAGGAUCUGGAGUGCUCUGGGGCACUAACCGUGGGAAUUUAAACCCCAACCAACUCACCCGAGAUCUCUAAUUCAGCCCAGUGCGACUUCUUCCCGUUGGCCACCUCUUCCGCCGACAUGAUGGUGUAAAUUCUGCGAGGAUCUGGAGGAUCAUAUUUUUCCUUUGGCAUCCCUGUUAGUCUGAAAGACCAUCACAACUGUUACUGCACAGCAUUCCUUCCUUUCUGUUCUUCCCAAGGAUGCCCUGCAACACCACGUCCCAGAGUUUAUGCACAGUAGCUGUGGGGCUGCCAAGCAGGCGCUCACAAAAUUCUGGGAUGGAGAAGAGCGUUUCUUCCUAGGAAUUUGGGGUUUCUACGGUCACCUGCUGGCUUUCCCAGUUUACCCUCCAUAACCCACGGAGCUGUUGGCUCUGUGCAGAACCUGCAGACAAGAUCAGAAGCAUUCUGCUGUUCCCAGAUUGCUCCCUCCUGUAGUUUGCACAGGGAAGGCUCUUAACUUCUACUUACAAAGUCCCACUUCUCCACUGCACUGCACUCCACUGCUCCAAACUGCAGUCUGAGGGGGAAUUAGCUCAAUUUUCCCAUUAACUAUCCAGCUUUUGUGUUCUGUGCUUUUUCAUGCUCGGGAUCAGUCAAGACCUUUGUAUUCCUAAUGGCCCAGGAGCCAUGAAAAGAGCUCAGGUAAAGCUCCCAUUUAGCAGUUCUGGGGCACAAAGGGCUCCAGCCCAGUGCAAAAUGUGAACAUCAGAAGCCUAAGGAUGAGCCUGUGCACACCAAGUUCAUCCAAUUGUCCUGACUGUCAGAAGGGAGCUCCGAUGUCCCAUUAAAAAACCACCCACUUGCCAGGGGACACAGGGAGAGGUUUUAUUCCCUGCCUCCCUAGGCUGUUGCUCAGCAGGACUCUGUGUGUGAUUUAAAAAGACGAGGUUAGCCGAUUUUGCUGGUCUUUCCCUCCCCAGACACACAAAAUCCACGAGCCUUGACUUCAUACAAAUCCAAAGCAGCUGCUCCAGAGGGUGCAGCUCUUCCCUCACACACUCUCCUCCAGCCAGCUGCUGCAGUAGGUGUGCAGAUCCUCAAACAGCUCCAACUUGGAUUUGAGGUAAGAAGCUGAGGGUUCUGCUCAGCAAGUCCAGCUAACCAAAGAUGCCACUUUCCCUCUACGACGGUCAAGUCCUGCAGGGUUUUCCAGCUGAUGCUGACAGCCAUUCCAGCGUUCUGACAUGGAGCAGGAGCUGUCCCCUGCCAAAGGGUCUCAGUUACAGGGCUGCUGCUUCCCUUCCCUCAGCAAGGCCCAAGGAAACUGCAGGGGCAAAUGCGAGCCCCACAUCUAAUUACAGCCCCCUGUCACUUCCAGGUGAGCUCACACGGCCAGCAGAGCUACGGGAUAAGAGGAUUCCGUGCUCACACUGCCUGGCACGGGGCCAUGAAGGAAACCAGUUACUUAAGGACACGGGAUUACACCUGAAAUCCUUCCACCUUUGCUCCAGAAUCCCAAAAUCACAACAGCCUUUCCCCCCAACGCAAGCAGGCUGCGCUUUGGGAGUGCCAGAUCUCUGCUGCUUGGAUUUCACUGGAUUUAUCUUCGCUCUUCAAGUGCUGGUGUGGAAGCAGGCAGCACUUGAACAGACUCCUCACAGCCCCUGCCAGGCCACAGGAGCCCUAUUCCACCUGCCCUUGCUGCUUCAUCUGUCAGAUGUCAAGCUGAUCUGUACCUCUGCAGCACCUGGACCCAAGGCACGGCACACCUGGCUGUUCAAACCCAGGAUUUGGGUGAGUGCUCUGUGAUGAAGUCCUUAAAACCACGGUGCUGAGACCACCUGAGGCACCCCCUGCCCAUCCAGUGAGCCCCUGACACCAUCUGAAAGCUCCAGGACUAGCCCUUGGCAGGGCACCCAGAUAAAUGAUGUUGAAAUACUCUGCCAAUGCAGAGCGAUGUGUGGCCAUCAGGGGCCUUCCAGAGGAGUGAGCCCUGAGCUGGGAGGCAAAGGACACACGCAUUUUUCAGCUGUUAGUCACUUGAAUAUUGCUUUGAAACCGUGGUGAGUCAAACAGGCAGCAGUGUCAUUGCCACAGUUACAGAAAGGGGAAAACAAACCUAAAUCAAAUGCACUUUUUUUCUGUCCUUCUGCAUCACAGCAACAUUGAGGAAGACCUGAAAGUCACCGUGUGUAAUUUUGUUCUUGGGCAAAAAAUUGAUUCUGCCUGGGUUCCCAGCUCCUGCCAUUCCUAUCUGCCACUCUGCUUGUCCUGGAACCAAAACAAUAUCCAGAAAUCCCAACCUGGUUUUGCUCAGUCUUCAUGGAAGCACACUGAGUUCCCUGGAUCUGUGAACUCCAAAAUCUGAUGCGCAUCAGUGCAAAUUCUGGCAGGCUUUUAUCCUAAAGGCUCCCCUUGGAAAACUUCUGAAGCUACCAAAACUUGCUCUCUGCUACAGAUCUAGCCCUGAUUUAAUGUAAAUUAAACACAGAAUCUCUUCCUCAUUUUGUGUAAAUUACAGAAAACCUGGAGAUGAGGACAUCAGUGCAUUAGUAAGAACAAUAUUUAAACUCUGGGGGUUCCUAAUGGAACUCUCUGGGUCCAAAAAACCCAGAGGGGACUGGCAGAGCAGGAUUACUCAGUUGUAACCCUAAGUGUGGUUCUGGGUGAGCCUAAGCAGCUCACUGAGGUGGAUAUAAAAGGGGCAGGGGCAGGUACUGUGUUUCCACCAGAAGGUGUGUGCCAGCCUUUUCCUUGGGCUUUUGGAGUUUUAUGCUGUUUUACUUGCUGGGCUGUUUUUGUGUAUGAGGCAUGCUGACUAUCAUUUAAAGCCUGGAGAAAAGAAAUGAGUAAUGGAACGCUGCUGAAGGUGUGAAGAGUGUCAGAGCAAAGGUUGAGCUACUGGGUUGCAGCAGAGGCUUUUAAUAUGAAGAAAUGUUUUUUGGGCAGCAGACAACAGGAACUUCUGGCUUUCAAGCACACAGUCCCUUCCCCAGAGAGUGUAGAUGGUGCAUUUCUUAAAUUACAGUGCCCAAAAGGUGUUUUGUUCAAGUUGUUUGACACCUCAGUGCCUAAAUGAGGAGGCCAAUGGAGAAGAGCUGUGCCUGCCUCCUGCCGCAGCCCUGUGUUCACAGGCACAGCUCCAAUCCCUCACCUUCAGCCCAGUGACAUUCUUUGUGAUCCUCUCCUUUUCCCCCCAGCCUCUGUACACGGCUGAGUCAAGCUGCCAAAGCAUUCUGGAAGCCAUCCAGCAGCCAGGCCUGAGAGGCUCUUCCUUCCUGUGAGCACAGCUGACUGUCCAUCCCCUCCCAUGUGGGGAUCCCUCCCAGGAAUUAGCCGUGUGUUGGCUGCCGGGGCGUGCGCGUGUGUACGCACACGUUGUCCAGCCGGGCUGAGGGCUGGCAAACAGCACCCUUUGCAUCCCUUCUUCAUCUCCACGGCCAUUCCUGUGCUUUGGAGGCAGCCCUGAGUGGCUGCAAAGGCUGCUUGUCUGCUCUGCUUUUGGGGGAGUGUGACAAAAGUCUCCCCAUUUCGGAACAGCCAAUAGCCACAAGCACAAAAACUGGAUUUCCUCCUCUAUGGGGCAGGAAAAUCAGGUGAUUGUUCAAGGGUAUGGUAAGGGGAGUCAAAGAAACCUGCCAAUACUGGGGUAUGUGCAGAUGUGUUAGCUUAGGGUAAACUAUUUGCUAUAUCCCUGUAUACAGCAUCUAGUCUGUAUAAAUCAGCAUUAAACAUUGGAGAAUGGGGAAUUCCGGUGGUCUUCGGCAUGGAGCUGAGCUUUUGCCAGAUGCUUUCCUGCAGGACUAUGUCCAACCACCUCUGUGUACACUGCCUCUCCCAAGAAUUCAAGGAGCACCCUGAGUCUGUCCUCCCAGGUACUGUGUCUUUCCAGCUUAUUCCAAGUACCCUGACUGGGGCAGAGAUUAGCAGGGAAUCAAAUAUAAAUGCCUCAUCGUUUUUUUUUAAUUUAAAAAAAAUCCCUCAAACAAUUCAAAAGCAAUGUUUGAGGAGAUUUGAAAGAACCCCUGAGGGAAGUCUGACACAGAACACAAGGAAAUUCAAGCUGGGACUAGGGAAAGGUUAAGAGGUAACCAGGAACCUGCAGCAGGCAGUAAAUUCAGUGGUGCUGGGGUCCCAGGGGCCUCCACGUUAUCUCUUUGAGCCCAGAGAAGCACAGACAAGUCAGAAGCAAACAGCAAAAGCCAAGGGGAGGAGUGGGAAGGGAGGGAACGAGCUGUAUUUGAUUAAUUCCAGAGCCAACUGGCACUCACUUGAUGGAAAUGCUAAUUGUCCCACUGACAUACACCCACUAGUUAUUCCCCUCAUUCCCUCCUCUCCUCUAAAUGAAGCAGUCUUUUCUUAAAUCACAGGUAACACAAGCAUAUCCAGGUUUCCACCCUUCCUCUUCCUCCAUGUCACACCCCCACUUACAGGACCAGCUGAACUAUUUACUGCAUGGAAAUCCUACACAGCUGCUUUUUAUUGCUGUGCUUGGUUAAGAGUCACUCCUCACUGCCAAGGAACAAUUCCUCCCUGCUGGAAGCAGCCUGUUACCUCUCAGGGAGUGCAUGACAGCUCCUGGAUACUCACAUCAGGUCACUGUGUCUGCAGGUGCCUUUUACCCUUUGUGCUUCCAGAGCAGCUCUUGGGGCUGCUUCACGUGCAAACACAGGGCAGGCUGCUCCCCAAAAUAAGGCUCUGCUUACCAGAAAUGCAUGCAAGGGGCCACUGUAGGGCAAGAAGUGCUCCUAGCAGCCAGCCUGUAAAUAAAUGUCAUCAGAAGCCCCCAAAGGGCUGGUUUAAACACUGUGCUUAUUUAUUUACACAAGUAUCUUGCACUGUUUCAGAGAAAUGACCCAUUUGCAAUGCUGCUCCAUCCCCUGGGGAGUGCUGGGCUUCUAAUGAGAUCCAGGACAGAGUGGCUUAAAGGAUUAGGAGCUGAAGUCACCGGGAGUGUGGGGAAGGAAGGAGCCAGUGCUGGAUCAAGACAAAACACCGGCCUGGGCUGUGGGCAUGGCAGAGAAGCAGCCAAGUAUGGCUGCAGCUUAAAGCAGGGGGUUUUCCUGGCACUGGGGAGACACAGAAGUGCCAACAGCAGGGGCACGGCGAGCUGGCAGGGCUGUGGUGUGCCAGUGUCCCUCCGAAGCGGGAGGGGAAGGGCUGCUCUGCUGGCAAGGCUGACCUGACACCCAUCCAGUCACUCCGAAAUGACACAGACCUGCUCAGGCUGUGCUGAGAGCCAACACCGUGCCUCACUCAACUCCUCAGGAUCAAUACCUGGAGAGGAGUCAGCUGUUGACCUCGUUUUUGAGCAAAACUACACGGGAAUUACGAAUCCAUGCACGCUGAGGUCUUCUCAAUGAAGCAAGCCUAAGAUACAGCUGGAAUCAUCAAUACCCUUUCAUCCUUCAAAGCCCAAAGUUUGGGCUAGGAGGAAAGAAAUGAGAUUAUUUCCACAGCCACGGUGUCAUCUCCCCUUUUCAGUGGGAGACUGCCAGCCCUUCCACAAAAUAAGCAAAGCCCAGCAACACUUCAGUUACUCUGCUUCAACAAUCCAAAGAAAUCUGCCACUGAAAAACUUAAUUCAAACAGCUUUAGGGUUACAAGGCUUGCCUUGUUCAACCACAGGUAAGUUUGGAUGAGUCAAAGCUCAAGAUUUUAAAAGGAAGAAGGAGAAAAAGAAAAAAAAAGCCAAAGGAAAAAGCACACACUGAUAGUGGAAACUGUUUUGCAAUCACUGGCACAAUAAAUGAGCCUUUUCAGUCUGAACAGGCCCCAGGAUGCUGCACUAGUGCUCAAAGUAGCUGGGCUUGUAUGCUCAGGAGGAGAGAGAAGGGAUCUGUUAAAAAACCCCAGUUUAUAGGAAUAAACCCUCUUCUCCAGAGGGUGUAUUUAAAUGUACUUUGCAUUAAAAAAAAAAAAGUUUGCCUAAUAGCCUGAGCAAAGCAUAUUAUUUGAAUAUUGAAAGAUAGUUCAGCUGCUUCUGUAUCUGAUUAUCCCAGUAUUUCCCAUGAGCAUUUCCACCUUACUUAAACUUCCAACCAUAAUCCCACACUGGUUUGGGCUGGAAGGGACCUUUAAGCCUCUCCAGCUCACAUCCCUGCCAUGGGCACGGGCACCUUCCACUGUCCCAGGCUGCUCCAGGCCCUGUCCAGCCUGGCCUUGGACACUUCCAGGGAUCCAGGGACAGGCACAGCUUCUCUGGGCAGCCUGCUCCAGAAGAGAGGCUCAGCUUGUGUGGGCUCCUCUGUUCAGCCACGUGAAGGGAUCUCACCUAAAGGCAGGGAAUACCUUUGGCAAGUUUUGCUGUAGCUUUUCAAACAGGUUGGUUUUCUGCUAUUUCUUAACCUGCUGGCAGGUGAGAGGUUAAUUACAGAGCUCUCUGAAAGGAAGCUGAAGAAGACAAAUGCCUGGCAAAGGCCUGGUGCUACCUCCCCUGCUGUACAGAAAUGCAGAGUAAAGGAAGAGCACAGACUCAGUGGGUAGGUCAAGAGGCAGGUAAGGAUUCAGGAAUGCUGGAGCCUUGUUGACAGCCUGAGGUUUUCAACCAGGUAAUUUUCCAAGCAGAAAAUACUUGUGAGUUAUACUCAUCUCCCCACGUCCAGGGUUGUUUUGUUCAGACGUGCAGCUGCCACAAAAUGACUUAAAACUGAAUUAUUCCCCCUUUACCUGCACAGGAAGCACCUGGGGGUUCCUAGAGCAGGCAGAAAACCACCUUGCAAAAAACCACCUAGUCUCAAACCUCCUGGUCUGUCCACAGUCUCAAGACACUCCACAGAUAUGCUUUCUCAUGCACUCCAAACAUUCCUAAUUCCUCUGGUGCACUCCACUCCUUCCCUGUCUUUUGCUCUAGUCUAAGGAGGAGGAGGAAGGCUCCUUGCACAGGUACAAACAUGUCCCUGGAGACUGACCUGCUCCCAGUGGCAAGAUGUGACUUGGAUGGAGGGAAAAAAAGGUAAGGCCAGCUCUUCCUGGCACCUGGGAAUGUUCUGGUAUGUGAGAAGUCAUCUGGGCCUGCUUUCCUUUUGCUUUCUUAACCUUCCAGAACAAAAAGGGAUUCAAGGAAAGGCGUUCACAAGUGGGAAUUUUGCCUGGGCAGCCGUUCAUCCUGUGCUAGCUCUUUCCCACUGCCAGGGCCAGUUGUAAAUUAAUGUAACACAAGAAGCAGAAAUUGAAUUUUGAACUAUAGAGAAGCAGAAAGAGCAAAGGAUAGUCUCCACGUGUCGGGGCUGACUCAGGAUAAAGGACUUUUUUUUGGUGACAUACAUCCCCCCCUUGUGAUCUCACACAGGAAGCAAAGCAUACAAAGUAUGUUUUCUGCUUUCCCCCUUUCUCAGUUUUUCUGGGAGCAUCCUAUGGGAAAAAAAGAGCUACAAAUCUGCAGAAGGAGGGCUUCAGCACUCUGUUUAGGUGGUGCUUAAAUCCAGAGCCUUUUGAAAGGGCCUUUAGAUUGAUUUCUUAGGAAGAAAAAAAAAAAAAAAAGAAAGCAAAAACUAAUUUGUGAUUAGAAGGCACAAAGAUGUUCACUCAGAUGGAAGCAUUCCUGAAAAGCAAGGGGAAAACUACCCGAGCAAUUCAUUCAGCUGCCCUAAAGGGUAAACAGCAAACUUGAACACCAGCCACAAAGCCUGAUUAUUAUUAACAGCUUGACCAAAAGCUUAUGGGUUUUGUACUUUCCUUUGUACUCCUGGAAUUUGAUGAACUUAAAAAAAUGUGUUUGACACCAAAGCAAGGAGGAGGGUGCCUCUGCAGCAACACAAGGCUGAACAUUCCUCCCUCUCCUGCAGCCUGCCCAGCUGCCUCAGCCCAGGAACUUUUUCUGCCUUUACAAAAUCAUGUCAAAUGUCUAAUUGGGCCUUCCCUUCCAGGCUGUUGGAAGCAGCAGUGUGGGGAGCUGUUGACCUGGAGAGCUAAUUGUGGAAGGGCUGGUGGCCAGGAUAAAGGAGCUUUGCUUUGCAUUCCCGUUCCCAACACAGCCCCUGGAGAGUACAGGUGUGAAGCUGCACGGACAAAUCACUGGAAACCCAAAGAACUAUUCAGAAGGUGAAGUUACACCACACUGUCACUGCAACAAGCAUCCAAGCCUUGAUUACAGCCUGCCAUCAAGAGAACCACAGAAUCUGGACUAAAAAAAAAAAAAAAAAAGUUACAAGAGGCUUAGCAUUUAAUGCUCUAAAGCACUAAAUCCACAGCAAAUCCUCCUGAACCUAAAUAUGCCUAAGACAUAUUUUAACUUUUUUUUUUUUUUUUUUAAAGUUUUCACAAAUGCCAUCUUAUGCUCCCAAAAAAACCAAGCUGCACUGGUACUUUUGCUCUCUCAGUAGUCUGCAAAUCAGGUUACAGUCCCGUGCCUCGAGUGCCCUUUUGGCACUCCCCUCUUUCCACCAAACAGUGAGCAAGUAAAAAGUAAGCACUUAUUUGGAUUUUUCUCCCCUUUUAAGCCCAAGUAACCCAAAAGUGUCCAGCAGAUUACAGCUGAUAGAAGCAGAAUUUCUGGGGGUGGUUCAAGAAAGUUUGCCUGGAAUUUACGCACGUUACUGAUGGAUAAUUUUAUCACCUAAAACCUUGGGGAGGGUUUUAGUAAGAAGAAACACAUCCCUCCACUUGUGCACAUUGACUCAAACAAAAAAGCCAGUGGCUGCUGUGAUUUACCUGACUUUAAGUUUUAAUUCUUGGUGGUUUAGAUUUAAAUUAAGUAGAGGCUUACCCAGUGUGGAAAUUAAUUAAUUUUUCUCCACUGGUGCUUUUUCAUUCUCCACACACACACACACACCUUGGGAUCACUUUCUGGCUUCUUUCUCCCAGGACUGGUGUGAAAGCUGAACCUGGUCAAAAGCCUGGCUGGCUUUUUGCAAAACCAGCCAGGCUGUUAAUGGGGAAACAACAAAAUACUCCCAGUUUCUCCCACUAAAUGGAAGUUUUAUCCCAUGGAAAGAGAACAGCCGUAACGUCACUUACUUCCACAAGAGAAUUCCCACUGCAAACGUGACGGGGCUCCUACAGAUUCUGGAUGGGAAGAGGAGAGCCACACAUGGCAAAUACACCCCGAGCAGCCUUCCCUUCCUUUUCCUUCCCUUCCCUUUCCUUCCCAGGCAGGCAGAUGAAUGCCUGAGCAGGCUCCAUCCCUGGAAGCAGCGCUGCUCCCAGGCCAGGGAAACACCCUCCAGGCAAAGGCAAACAAGCUCUAUCAGUAAGAGUGCACUUGUGCAGAUAACUGCUCCUGCAGCUGGGACUGGUGCUGGCACAGCUCUGGCAGUCACGGCUGGGAAA